rnacentral:miRNA from 1 species
UGGCCCGUGGGGCGCAGGGACACUCCGACCCGGGAGGGGGGAGGGGGAGGGAGAAGGGAAGGGGGCGGGGGGAAAGAGGA